rnacentral:rRNA from 1 species
CCUACGGGGGGCAGCAGUGAGGAAUAUUGGUCAAUGGUCGGGAGACUGAACCAGCCAAGCCGCGUGAGGGAUGAAGGUACAGAGUAUCGUAAACCUCUUUUGUCAGGGAACAAAGGCGGGGACGUGUCCCCGGAUGAGUGUACCUGAAGAAAAAGCAUCGGCUAACUCCGUGCCAGCAGCUGCGGUAAUACGGAGGAUGAGAGCGUUAUCCGGAUUUAUGGGGUUUAAAGGGUGAGCAGGCGGUCUGUUAAGUCAGGGGUCAAAGCCCGGGGCUGAAACCCGGCCCGCCGUUGAAACUGGCAGUCUCGAGUUGGAGAGAAGUAGGCGGAAUGCGCGGUGUAGCGGUGAAAUGCAUAGAUAUUAGGAGGAACACCAGUGGCGAAGGCGGUCUGCUGGACAGCAACUGACGGUGAGGCGCGAAAGCGUGGGGAGCAAACAGGAUUAGAUACCCCAGUAGUC